rnacentral:rRNA from 1 species
ACCAAGGAGUCUAGCAUGUGCGCGAGUCAUUGGGACACGACUAAACCUAAAGGCGAAAUGAAAGUGAAGGUCCGCCUCGCGCGGACCGAGGGAGGAUGGGCACGCCCUCGUGCGGCCCCGCACUCCCGGGGCGUCUCCUUCUCAUCGCGAGAUGAGGCGCACCCAGAGCGUACACGCUGGGACCCGAAAGAUGGUGAACUAUGCCUGGUCAGGACGAAGUCAGGGGAAACCCUGAUGGAGGUCCGUAGCGAUUCUGACGUGCAAAUCGAUCGUCGGAACUGGGUAUAGGGGCGAAAGACUAAUCGAACCAUCUAGUAGCUGGUUCCCUCCGAAGUUUCCCUCAGGAUAGCUGGCGCUCGCCGCGCGCGAGUCUCAUCCGGUAAAGCGAAUGAUUAGAGGCAUUGGGGUCGAAACGGCCUCAACCUAUUCUCAAACUUUAAAUGGGUGAGAUCUCCGGCUUGCUCGAACGCGUGAAGCCGCGAGAUUUCGGAUCAGAGUGCCAAGUGGGCCACUUUUGGUAAGCAGAACUGGCGCUGUGGGAUGAACCAAACGCAGAGUUAAAGCGCCCAAAUCGACGCUUAUGGGAUACCAUGAAAGGCGUUGGUAACUUAAGACAGCAGG